rnacentral:lncRNA from 1 species
GGAAGGGGCGGGAAGGGGCGGCCCCGCUGCCAGUGGGCGCCCAGACGCCCGCCCCGCCGGCCGCAGCCCCUGCGAGUCCCGCACCCCGGGCGCUUUUUAUUCCCUUUUUCCUUUGCUUCCUCCUUCUCUGCUUGUCCUCCCACCCGGGGCCGACGACCCCCCCCCUCCCUCCCCCCACCCCCAUUUUUUCCUCGCGCCUCCCCCGGCCAAGCGGAGGGAGCUCCCGACCCAUCGCACCCCGCUGGAAAAGUUCAAGGAUCGUGCCUUUUCCCGGAAGGCAGCCUCCCUCUUUGCAGAAGGGGGGAAGAAGAAGAAGAAACCCACCUCCCCCCAUCUACAAAAACAAAAAAGAAAGGGGAAAAAAAGGCAGAAAAAGCAUCGAGAAAGCCCGGCGCGGGGGGGCGAGGGGGCCUCCUUGGCACCCGGCUGCAGCCGGUCCUGCGGGGAAGCCCAGUGGUUAGGCCCCGAACCGAAGUCCUGCCAAGGCGCGGAGGACGAGAAGGAAAAGGAAGGAGCCGGGAGACGGAGCCCCCCCCCCGGGACUCCCCAAAAAAGCCUUUUCUACCUCCCAUUCCCCACCCCUUCCUCGCCCGCCCCCUGCCCCCAGCCGGGGUGGGAGGCCGGAGCCGGACGCCCCCCUUUCCUCCUCCUCCGACGACAAACUUUUCCUUCUCUCCGGACGGAUUAAAGUUGCCUUGCUGGUUGCUUUUGAUUUGCUUUUUCUCUUUUUGGGGGGGCGGGCAGGAGCCGGGCCGGGCCGGGGGGGGCUCUUUGGAGCCCGAGAGGCCGCUGGAGCCGGCCGAGCCCUCGGGGGAUUUUGCCGUGGCCAUCGCUGAAUUCGCAUCAUUUUUGAAGCGGGGGAGGGGGCCGCUGCUGUGGGCUUUUUCCCCCCGCUCCCACCCUCGGAGGAACGUGCGUCUUGCAAGCAGCCGCCCCCCGAAUUGGGGGUCGCGGGGGGGGGGGGCUUUGCAGGUGCGGACCCCUGGACUUGCACGUGCCUCGCUGACCUCCCCCCCCCCCAUCCCGGGGGAAGCCGCUACCGUUUGGACUCGGGGGAGCACGGGGGAGCCCCCCGCCCAGCUUUCCUCGCCACGACCCGGAGCCCCCCCCCCCACUCCUCGAGGGCGUAGUAGACGUCUUGGCUGGUCCCGGGCGGCUCUCCAUCUGCAGCCCCCCACCCCCAUCUCUCACACACAUACACACACACACACACACACACACACACCCGCUCACAGGCUUUCCAGUUGGCCGGCAGGGCGGGGUAGGGGGCGACUGAGGGUCCAGCAGAGGCGGGGCAUCUCAGGACAGCCCCCCGCCCCCACCCUCCCGGAGGAGUUAUAA